UGCAAUACUGUGGGACCACUAGAACCUAGAGAGUAUUGGACAGGCAUUACUAGAGGGUAAUGGCUCCUCACAAAGAUUUUUCUCUGCUUAGCAGUGGAUAACUCUGCACCUGCUGUAGCUGCAUUAACAAAAACAUUUGUGUUCAUAACAGCUUCCACCAACUCAUUCAGUAUGACUUCACUCACUGGCUGACUAUGCUGGUGCAGAAUGUUGGUAAUAGAGUCUCUCACAAGAGGUUUGGACAGUGAGAAUAUCUGCAACAAGUCAUCAAUGAUGUUCUGUAUUGCUCUCUCUGACACAUGAAGAACACUGUACAUUUUUAAGAAGAGGGAAGACAAGUUGUUUUUUAACUGAUUUUGCAGUUCCUCAGUGUCAUGUGUGGACUCGGAAGGAUUAGAGGAAGGACUUCCAAGUUCAUAGUCAUAGUCUGAGGGACCAGCAUCCUCAUAUUCAACAGUUAGCAGUUUCUUUAAGGAUAAUUACACACUUAAAGGCUGAAAUAUCACCAUCAGGAUGACACCUACUUCUAUGGGUAUUGAAGGAGGAAUACACAUUAGUACUGUAGAGGCUAAGCCUACGCAUGAAGCCACUGAGGUGGUCGUUAACGGGGGGGUGACGCGAUGUCACUGGUAUGUAUGAAUUAAGUAAAACAGUCCAAUAACUCCAGCUGUACUUAUCUUGUCCUUUUUGUUCUUUAUUCCAAUAUCCUCUUGACAUAACAGCGCAGCGGUCACAAACUGUUUGCCUUCAUACAAUCACGACACACCUGACGCCGAUUACGUGCGUCUACCUUAAAUACCUUUACAUGAACAAAACAGAAAAAGGUGACCUCUAGUGGCCACAUAAGGUAUUAACCCCAAAACGGCUCCUACAAGUACGGUAGUGACAAUUUUUGAAAGGGCAAUCCAAUGUCUCAUGCUGUUUUAGAUGUGUCCUUAAGUGACUAAGGACAUUUUUAUCAUUGAAUGGUUGGCUACAACCACAAAGAGGGCAAAGAAAUACUGCACUUUGAUCUCUACUUUGCACAACUUUCUGAGAAUGUAUCCGCGUUAAAUGAAUUUUCAAAGC
rnacentral:lncRNA from 1 species